rnacentral:rRNA from 1 species
UGGGGAAUUGUUCGCAAUGGGCGAAAGCCUGACGACGCAACGCCGCGUGGAGGAUGAAGAUCUUCGGGUCGUAAACUCCUUUCGAUCGAGACGAAUGCCUUGGGGGUGAACACUCCCCAAGGGUGACGGUACCGAGCGAAGAAGCCCCGGCUAACUCCGCGCCAGCAGCCGCGGUAAUACGGGGGGGGCAAGCGUUGUUCGGAAUUACUGGGCGUAAAGGGUGCGUAGGCGGUGCUCUAAGUUUGGUGUGAAAUCUCCCGGCUCAACUGGGAGGGUGCGCCGAAAACUGGAGUGCUUGAGUGCGGGAGAGGAAAGCGGAAUUCCUGGUGUAGCGGUGAAAUGCGUAGAGAUCAGGAGGAACACCUGCGGUGUAGACGGCUUUCUGGACCGUAACUGACGCUGAGGCACGAAAGCGUGGGGAGCAA